rnacentral:piRNA from 1 species
UGUGACCUCGGCCACAGAGAGUUGA